AGAGACAGCAGCCGCCGCGGGAAUACGAAGGGGGCUAGCGCUGUUCGGAUUUACUGGGCGUAAGCGCACGUAGGCGGAUCCUUAAGCCAGAGGUGAAAGCCCAGGGCUCAACCCUGGAAUUGCCUUUAAGACUGCCGAGCUAGUAGGUGAGAGAGGUGGGUGGAAUUCCGAGUGUAGAGGUGAAAUUCGUAGAUAUUCGGAAGAACACCAGUGGCGAAGGCGGCUCACUGGCUCAUUCUAGACGCUGAGGUGCGAAAGCGUGGGGAGCAAACAGGAUUAGAUACCCCAGUAGUCCCUGUCUCUUAUACA
rnacentral:rRNA from 1 species